UACGUAGGGUGCGAGCGUUAAUCGGAAUUACUGGGCGUAAAGCGUGCGCAGACGGUGGCUCAAGCCAGGCGUGAAAUCCCCGGGCUUAACCUGGGAAUGGCGUUUGGGACUGGGUCGCUAGAGUGUGGCAGAGGGAGGUGGAAUUCCACGUGUAGCAGUGAAAUGCGUAGAGAUCGGGAGGAACAUCAGUUGCGAAGGCGGCUCUCUGGACCAGCACUGACACUGAGGCACGAAAGCGUGGGGAGCAAACAGG
rnacentral:rRNA from 1 species